rnacentral:tRNA from 1 species
UGCUGUGGUGGUGGAAGUGGUAGACACGCUAGCUUGAGGGGCUAGUGGGCGAUAAGCCCAUGCUGGUUCAAGUCCAGUUCACAGCAUUAA